rnacentral:rRNA from 2 species
UAAGUCAGCCACGAAUAGGCUAUCCCAACUAACGGCGGGAAAGACUCCACGGAGGGUGUAAGACCCGUGUGGGCGCGUGUCAAAGCUGUGCGGGCUCGGCCUUUUUUCCCUGAGAGUCGCGUUGCUUGAGCAUGCAGCGCUAAGCAGGUCGUAAACUCGAUCUAAGGCUAAAUAUGUCCACAGAACCGAUAGCGAACAAGUACCGUGAGGGAAAGUUGAAAAGCACUCUGGAGAGAGAGUCAAAAGACCGUGAAACCGCUCAGAGUAUAAGCCCAUGGCAGCUUGGAAGGCAUAUCGCUAGCGGGGCAUCGGUCUUCCUUCACGGGGAGCUGGUGUUACCUUGCUUCUGUUGUGGCUCGUCAAGGUAGGGGGGUCAAGUCCACAUCCCGCCGUCGUGUGUGAAGUUCUCGGGUGUGUUGUUGUCUUUCGGUUGGCUUCGGUUGGCCGUUGGGCUCUUCGUGCUUGGUGCUUCUUUAACACGGACGUUCAGACUCAAAGGCAAGACGCGAUAACCAGCCCACCACGGCACGUUGUGAGGUCACCCACAGGCUCAACUUUCGAUUGUGAACCUUGACGCCGAGCAGCACAAUGCGUGUCGCUUAUGUUCCUAACCAGGCAACGCUGCCAGGACCGUGGAACGACACGCGCUCAACAGUCAGGUUCGAGCGAUGACAGAGUUCUGGUACGAUCCUCUUGCGACGAGCCGGCUUCUGGCCAACAUCCGCUGCUCAGGUCUCCCGCAUGUGCCGCGGGAGAUCGCCCUUGACGGUCUGGA